rnacentral:lncRNA from 1 species
GGGAGAGAAGGAGAGGGGAGAGCACGCUUGGAUGUGCUUGGGGAGGGGGCUGGAGAGAAUGUAUAUGUGUAUAUAGUGGGGGAGAUGCUAGGCUACAGCAUCCCUUUUCCAAGACAGUGAAGGGGGUGGGUGGUGGGUGUGUGCACAGGGAGGGAAAGGCAGAUGCUGUUGCCCCUCGUGCCCAGCAGACAAAGAGGAACUGCACAACAAAUGCCUGAGAGAGGCAAGAGUGUGUGCAAGAGAGAGAGAGAGAGAUGGAUGGGCCUGCGGGUGGGAGGGAGAAAGGGGGGGCCCUAGGGAAGGCCCAAUCCUCUGCCAGCUGGGGAAGCCAAGGCCCCAGAGGUCAUGGGGCCCAGGACACGGACAGCUUCAAGGCUCUCAGAGAGGCAGAAAGCCCCUCCCCCACCGAACUCUUUCCCUCCUCCUCCAGGAGGAAGGUUGCUCUCUAGAUGUGGGGACUGACAGCCUCCUCCUUUCCAGCAGUGAGAGGGCCCAGCAGAGUCUGGUGUCAGGCUAGUGUUGCUCCGUGGCCCUGAGACCUUUCAGAUCCCGGGCAAAAAGGCUGAAGGGAAUGAUCUGUACCUUUAAAAAGAGAAAAGGGGAGAAAAGAUGGAUUUUCUGAAUCACAUUCUGUGAGGAAUUCAAAUCUCUUGGAAGAACAGGAGAGAUACCCUUUUCAUCAAGUGGCCUGAUGAGGGAAGGUCACCUGGCGUGGAGCAGAAGAACUAUGAUGGCCUGUGGAGGCCCGCAGUGUGCUUCGGGAGGGCUGCAUGCUGCAGCCUUUCCCUCUGCUUCCAUAUGACUCUUCCAGGAGAGAUGGGUCAGUGAUGAGCGCAGCUAUGCCCAGUCCUAAGAGGGGUACUUUUCAGGGCUAAUGGUAGCCUUACUUUGACUUUCUCUUUUCCCUUUCUAAGGUAGCUGCUGACAUCUAAAAUUCUCAAAGUACAGAGGAGGAGUUCCUGGCCUCCACUUCCAUUCAAAAACCAUCCUGUGCAGAGGCCACUUCUUAUCUAGGACAUGCCAAUCUGCUGAAAGCAGGGAAAACUUGGUUUCAUAGCACGGUGAAGCAAAUCACCUCCAUGAGUAUCCAAUAUUCUCCAUAAACAGGUUUGAAAAGA